rnacentral:rRNA from 1 species
CAACCUACCUUAAUCAGGGGAUAGCCCGAAGAAAUUCGGAUUAACACCGCAUAAAAUCACAGAAUAGCAUUAUUCAAUGAUCAAAUAUUUAUAGGAUUAAGAUGGGCAUGCGUGUCAUUAGCUAGUUGGCGGGGUAACGGCCCACCAAGGCGACGAUGACUAGGGGAUCUGAGAGGAUGACCCCCCACACUGGUACUGAGACACGGACCAGACUCCUACGGGAGGCAGCAGUAAGGAAUAUUGGUCAAUGGAGGCAACUCUGAACCAGCCAUGCCGCGUGCAGGAAGACUGCCCUAUGGGUUGUAAACUGCUUUUAUCUGGGAAUAAACCUAUUUACGUGUAAAUAGCUGAAUGUACCAGAAGAAUAAGGAUCGGCUAACUCCGUGCCAGCAGCCGCGGUAAUACGGAGGAUCCAAGCGUUAUCCGGAUUUAUUGGGUUUAAAGGGUGCGUAGGCGGCCUGUUAAGUCAGAGGUGAAAGACGGUAGCUCAACUAUCGCAGUGCCUUUGAUACUGAUGGGCUUGAAUGGACUAGAGGUAGGCGGAAUGAGACAAGUAGCGGUGAAAUGCAUAGAUAUGUCUCAGAACACCGAUUGCGAAGGCAGCUUACUAUGGUUUUAUUGACGCUGAGGCACGAAAGCGUGGGGAUCAAAC